AGGGGGGGGGGGGGUGUGGCCGUUGAGAGGCGCGCGCGCGCCCUCGCGCCGGGCUCGAGCCGGCGGCAUCUCCCCUCCCCUCAGUCCCGCUCGGCAGCCGCGGUGGCAGCAGUAGCCGCUGCCCGGGUAGCGGUGCCGGUGCCUCCUCCUCAUCCUCCUCGCUCUUCCUCCACCCCUCCCGGGGCACGGUGAGCACAGCCGCGUGGGGACGGGCUCGCUGCCCUCGCCGCGCCGGGACGCGGAGCCCGCCGUUGGGUGCGACGGGACUGCGGGACCCCCCCCUGCCCUCAGCCCGCCCCGGCGAGCGGCCGAGGCAGGGGCCGGCUGGCCGCUCUCUCUCUUCCCCCCCCUCCACGGUACAGACACGCCGAGAUGCAGUUUAUGUUGCUUUUUAGUCGCCAGGGGAAACUGAGACUCCAGAAGUGGUAUGUCCCAUUAUCUGACAAAGAAAAGAAGAAAAUCACAAGGGAACUUGUUCAAACAGUGUUAGCCCGCAAACCGAAAAUGUGCAGCUUCCUGGAAUGGAGAGACCUGAAGAUUGUCUACAAAAGGUACGCAAGCCUGUAUUUCUGCUGUGCUAUUGAAGAUCAGGACAAUGAACUAAUAACUCUGGAAAUAAUUCAUCGCUAUGUAGAACUUCUUGACAAGUAUUUUGGCAGUGUAUGUGAACUUGAUAUAAUCUUCAAUUUUGAAAAAGCCUAUUUCAUUCUGGAUGAGUUCCUUUUAGGCGGGGAAGUUCAGGAGACUUCCAAGAAAAAUGUUCUCAAAGCCAUUGAACAGGCAGACCUUUUACAGGAGAGCCAGAAUGAAGACUGGGGAGGUUUGUCUGAGGAUAUCUUAUGAUUAAGAGCAAUCUAAGGCAUUAGUCCUUUUGACCCCCAUCUAAAUGAUUGGAAGCAGAGACCCCACGUAGUGUACUUGAAGAAAUUGGAUUGACAUAAAUCUUCACUUCAGCUGAUGACAUCUCAGUGUUUCAUACUGUAAAUGUUCACUGCCUUCAUUGUAAUGUUUAGCUAAUGGUGUAAGAUGCUGUUUGUCAGUAUUACUGUUUUGCUAAGCUGCUUCGUUCAGGCCUACAAGAAAAAUACUCCUUUAAAAAGGGAGCAAGAAACUGAAGCCCAAAAAUCAUAAAUGAAAGGGAUUAGAUUUAAAUUGACUCAGUGUCUCCAUUCACUGCAUUUAGAGGAAAAUUGCAUUUGACUUCAAUAAGUGUUUUUUAUAAUCAAACUUGACUUCAGGAAACAAAUGCAUCGUUAUGACGUAGCAUAUCUAAAUGAGAAGAAACUAUAUGGACAACUCCAAAUACAAAAUCUUAUGGUGUAGAAAUCGUGUUUAUGCAACCAAAGACUUCUUUUCAUCUACAUUUUAGUCACCACUUGUGCUAAUUCUGCUUAUUUCAGUUGAUGCAUAAAGAUUGGAAAUACCUGUUUACUACUGAAUUUGUCAUAAUACCAAAGAAUCCUGUUUGAUAUGCAGAUCCAAACUGGUUAAAAACUGUUAAGAUGAUACUGCUUUUUUGAAAGAAAACGGCAAACUGAUCAACUCACUAGAAAUGAAGGUGUGUUUAAGUGUAGCUACCUUGAGCAAAACUCUGCAAGUUACUAUACUAUAAAGGGAAUGCAUGUAUUUUUUAAAAAAAUCCACAUAAGAGAACUAUUUUUAGAUCUGAUAAUAGCUUGCUCUGAGCACAAGAAAGGAGGCAGGCUUUCCGACUAUAUCGAGAGGCACGUAUGAAAAUUGGAUACGUUUGAAGAUGGGAAAGGAGAAGCUUUACAAAAGGGACUUAUUUUCUUUUAGACUGCAGACUGAUUUGUGUUUAUUGGUGUUUUAUAGUUACGCUUCAAUGGGUGUAUAGGUACCCUUAAAAACACCAACAAAAAACCAAACCAACCCACACUACGUGUCAAUGUCAUUUUAACUGCUUUUCUUGACUUACACCUUUAACAUGACCCAUCCCUUAUGAAACACCUGUGUGAUGCACGCUUGAACCAACUAAUUUGCAGUGAGAGCUUUUAAUUAUUAGCUGUGUAUAGUAGAUUCACUGCAAAUCAUGUAAAGUAAGGCCAGGUGAUACUUCGACACUUCUAGCAGACUUCCAGUAGUUAUAAACUAAACCCCUUUCACUUGAGGGAAUUUGACUUGUGUAUUCUUUUGAGUUUUGAGGAGGUAGUUGCCACGCUUUGGAGUAGCCAAGCUGUGCCCUGUGUCUGCACGGUCCCUGAGGAGGGGGGGCUGCUCCCCUUCCUCCCCCCCCCCCCCCCCCCCCCGUAACUCCACGCUAGGAGUCAAUGCUUUGGCUUGUUCACUUGAGUAAGUAGCGCCACGUUUUCACGAAGCUUCACUUCGGCGUUGCCGCUGGAAGCGGCACUGCUAGCAUUAGCAUUUACACAGCCACCCGUGGUGCCACCCGCCUUAAAUUUGACCCAUGGGGAAAGGCUCGGUGUUGCCCCUUGUGGGUGCCCUGCUCCAGACCCAGUGCUGGUGGCAGCAGAAGGGCCAGCCGGGGCAGGGGUGGGUCUGCACGCUGCCGGGGUGGGGCUGGUGAACUCCCAGUGUUAGAAUUUCUCUACUUUAAGCCCCUUCUGGGAUUUAAACACAUCCAAUUGCUAGAGAAUGUUUUUAACCGAGGGCACGCAGAAGCAGUGGUGUGCGUUUCCCCAGUGCGCAACACGCAGGGAUAGAUGAGGUUAAAGUGGUAGCGGAACGACCUUGUGUGUGAGAUUGAAAUGGUAAAAUUACCUUCAUUUAAGUCAAACCCGAAGCAAUUUUCUAUGUAUUUAAUAUGUUUUUAAAGUUUACACUGUCACUUGUAUGUGCUUGGCUGGAUUAAGCUUUGUUGUGAUUGUGACAAAUAAACUGUUUGAUCUCUGUCUGUCACAUCGGUUUAGUUGUAAUAAAUGUCCAUUUUUACACCA